rnacentral:rRNA from 1 species
UACAGAGGGGGCAAGCGUUAUUCGGAAUUAUUGGGCGUAAAGGGCGCGUAGGCGGCAUCGCAAGUGGAAGGUGAAAUCCCUCGGCUUUAACCGAGGAACUGCCCUCCAACUGCGUUGCUUGAGGCCGGGAGAGGUGAGUGGAAUUCCCAGUGUAGCGGUGAAAUGCGUAGAUAUUGGGAGGAACACCAGUGGCGAAGGCGGCUCACUGGACCGGUUCUGACGCUGAGGCGCGAAAAGCGUGGGGAGCAAACGGG